GUUUUCACCGAGAUGCAUGUGGUUUUCAGACACAGGAAAGAAAACAUGCCAGUCUGUGGUUGAACUUUCCACUAGAGAACACACAGCCUAGAACCGGUGCCGGUGGGGAGAUCCUUCCUGCUUCAAACGCGAAAACCCACACAAGAAAAAUUGUCCUCUAGUGGGCAAGAAUGCUGUGGAUUGCUUCAAUUUUCAGAAGUUUUGGGGAACAAGGCCUCUGGUACUACAACUCCAUAGGGUUGUGACUGAAGAACUAGGGUGGCUUCAAAGGCAUGCAUCAUGUCUCUUCUAAUCUGAGUUCUGGGAAUCGGAGGAUGGCGUCUUCCUGGUUAACACUUCCCAGAUCCAUCGAUUCUGAUGACAGUCGGGAUAUCUCACAAUAUAGAUGAACACCCUCGGCUAAACCUCACCCACUUGCCUCAGAAGCCAUCUGCCUGACCUGCAAGAGAAGAAUGGGCCGAUACCAUCGUAAACAAAACAGCAAGCUGACUCUUUCUCUUCCAUGCCUUGCUGGCCCCAGUAAGCCUUGUACUGGCUGGUUUCGUGUGUCAACUUGACACAGGCUGAAGAUAUCACAGAGAAAGGAGCUUCAGUUGGGGAAGUGCCUCCAUGAGAUCCAGCUGUGGGGGCAUUUUCUCAAUUAGUGAUCAAGUGGGGAGGACCCCUUGUGGGUGGUACCACCUUUGGGCUGGUGCUCUUGGUUUCUAUAAGAGAGCAGGCUGAGCAAGCCAGGGGAAGCAAGCCAGCAAGAAACAUCCCUCCAUGGCUUCUGCAUCAGCUCCUGCUUCCUGACCUGCUUGAGUUCCAGUCCUGACUUCCUUUUGUGAUGAACAGCAAUACAGCAUUGUAAGCUGAAUAAACCCUUUCCUCCCCAAUUUG